UCCCUGUUGGUCAGGUGGUUAAGACACUGCACUUCCAAUGCAGGGGAUGAGGGUUCAAUCACUGAUCAGGGAA
rfam:TPA: Bos taurus chromosome 16, whole genome shotgun sequence.